rnacentral:rRNA from 1 species
AUUGAACGCUGGCGGCAGGCCUAACACAUGCAAGUCGGACGAGUGGCGGACGGGUGAGUAAUGUCUGGGAAACUGCCCGAUGGAGGGGGAUAACUACUGGAAACGGUAGCUAAUACCGCAUACCAUCGGAUGUGCCCAGAUGGGAUUAGCUAGUAGGUGGGGUAACGUCUCACCUAGGCGACGAUCCCUAGCUGGUCUUAGAGGAUGAACGGCAACACUGGAAUAGAGAAACGGUCCAGACUCCUGCGGGAGGCAGCAAUGGGGAAUAUUGCACACUGGGCGCAAGCCUGAUGCAGCCAUGCCGCGUGUAUGAAGAAGGCCUUCGGGUUGUAAAGUACUUUAAGCGAGGAGGGGUUACUCGCAGAAGAAGCACCGGCUAACUCCGUGCCAGCAGCCGCGGUAAUAC